AAAAGCUCGUAGUUGGAUCUGGGUCGUACGGCCGCAUGCUGUGCUUGUGUUAUCUGCUCUUCCGGGUGGAUAGGCGCAGGUCAGUGUAGUGGUUGUGCAGCCUUUCUGCCGUGUCUGUGUAUACGGGUGCUGGCUGGUUCGAUGGGUUUAUCCUGUUGGCCGGACGGCAUGCUCUCAGAUGCCUUUAACACGGUGUCGGGGGCGGACGGCACGUUUACUUUGAACAAAUUUGAGUGCUCAAAGCAGGCCAAUGCGCCUGAAAAUUCUUGCAUGGAAUAAUGGAAUAGGACUUCGGUUCUAUUUUGUUGGUUUUCGGAUCCGAAGUAAUGGUUAAGAGGGACAGACGGGGGCAUUUGUAUGGCGGUGUUAGAGGUGAAAUUCUUGGAUCGCCGCCAGACAAACUACAGCGAAAGCAUUUGCCAAGGAUGUUUUCAUUGAUCUGGAGCGAAAGUCAGAGGUUCGAAGACGAUCAGAUACCGUCCUAGUUCUGACCAUAAACGAUGCCAACUGACGAUCCG
rnacentral:rRNA from 1 species